rnacentral:rRNA from 1 species
UCCUGCGCAUGGUGGGUGUAGGUAAAGUUUUCGGUGGGGAUGUGCUCGCGGCCUAUCAGCUUGUUGGUGAGGUAAUGGCUCACCAAGGCUUCGACGGUAGCCGGCCUGAGAGGGUGACCGGUCACACUGGGACUGAGACACGGCCCAGACUCCUACGGGAGGCAGCAGUGGGGAAUAUUGGACAAUGGCGGAAGCCUGAUCCAGCAACGCCGCGUGAGGGAUGACGGCCUUCGGGUUGUAAACCUCUUUCAGUACUGACGAAGCGCAAGUGACGGUAGGUACAGAAGAAGCACCGGCCAACUACGUG